rnacentral:rRNA from 1 species
AGAGCGAACGCUGGCGGCAGGCCUAACACAUGCAAGUCGAACGGACCCUUCGGGGUUAGUGGCGGACGGGUGAGUAACACGUGGGAACGUGCCUUUUGGUUCGGAAUAGCUCCUGGAAACGGGUGGUAAUGCCGAAUGUGCCCUUCGGGGGAAAGAUUUAUCGCCAUUAGAGCGGCCCGCGUCUGAUUAGCUAGUUGGUGAGGUAAUGGCUCACCAAGGCGACGAUCAGCAGCUGGUCUGAGAGGAUGACCAGCCACAUUGGGACUGAGACACGGCCCAAACUCCUACGGGAGGCAGCAGUGGGGAAUCUUGCGCAAUGGGCGAAAGCCUGACGCAGCCAUGCCGCGUGAAUGAUGAAGUCUUAGGAUUAGUAAAAUUCUUCACGGGACGAUAAUGACGUACCCGGAGAAGAAGCCCCGAUAACUUCGUGUCGAGCAGCCGC